GGACUACCGGGGUAUCUAAUCCUGUUUGCUCCCCACGCUUUCGCGCCUCAGCGUCAGUCUCGGUCCAGAGCGCCGCCUUCGCCACCGGUGUUCUUCCCAAUAUCUACGAAUUUCACCUCUACACUGGGAAUUCCACGCUCCUCUCCCGAACUCUAGCCUACCAGUCCCAAGCGCCUUUCCCAGGUUGAGCCCGGGGCUUUCACGCCUGACUUGGUCCGCCGCCUGCGCGCCCUUUACGCCCAGUAAUUCCGAACAACGCUCGCCCCCUUCGUAUUACCGCGGCGGCUGGCAC
rnacentral:rRNA from 1 species